GCGCCGGGCGCGGAGCAGCGGCGGGGAGCGCGGGCGGAGCCCCCCGCCGGAGCCCCCCGCCGCCCCCGGCCCCGCCGUCCUCCCCCCCGCCGCCACCAUGGUGCAGAAAUCCCGCAACGGAGGCGUCUACCCGGGCCCCGCCGCGGAGAAGAAGCUCAAGGUGGGCUUCGUGGGGCUGGACCCGGGCGCCCCGGACUCCAGCCGGGACGGAGCGCUGCUCAUCGCCGGCUCCGAGAGCUCCAAGCGGGGCAGCAUCCUCAGCAAGCCCCGCUCCGGGGUCUCAGGCAGCGGGAAGCCCCCCAAAAGGAAUGCUUUUUACCGCAAGCUGCAGAAUUUCCUCUACAAUGUGUUGGAGAGACCGCGGGGAUGGGCUUUCAUUUACCACGCAUACGUUUUUCUACUAGUUUUCUCCUGCCUGGUGCUGUCUGUCUUUUCGACCAUUGAUGAGUACCAGAACAGCUCAGAAGGGGCCCUUUACAUCCUGGAAAUCGUCACCAUCGUGGUGUUUGGGGUGGAAUACUUUGUGAGGAUCUGGGCGGCCGGCUGCUGCUGCCGAUACCGGGGCUGGAGGGGAAGGUUAAAAUUUGCCCGCAAGCCUUUCUGCGUCAUCGACAUCAUGGUGCUGAUCGCAUCCAUCGCCGUGCUGGCAGCGGGGUCCCAAGGGAAUGUCUUUGCCACCUCAGCACUCAGGAGUUUGAGGUUCCUGCAGAUCCUGCGCAUGAUCCGCAUGGACCGGCGGGGCGGCACCUGGAAGCUCCUGGGCUCUGUGGUCUACGCACACAGCAAGGAGCUGAUUACUGCGUGGUAUAUUGGCUUCCUGUGCCUCAUUCUGGCCUCUUUCCUGGUAUACUUGGCCGAGAAAGGAGAAAAUGAGCACUUUGAUACAUACGCAGAUGCACUUUGGUGGGGUCUGAUCACUCUCACCACCAUCGGCUAUGGGGACAAGUACCCGCAGACCUGGAACGGGCGGCUGCUGGCGGCGACCUUCACACUCAUCGGCGUCUCCUUCUUCGCCCUUCCUGCCGGCAUCUUGGGUUCGGGGUUUGCUCUGAAAGUUCAAGAGCAGCAUCGACAAAAACACUUUGAGAAGAGGCGAAACCCAGCAGCGGGCCUGAUCCAGGCGGCUUGGAGAUUUUAUGCCACCAACCUGUCCCGGACAGACCUGCACUCCACCUGGCAGUACUACGAGCGCACCGUCACCGUCCCCAUGUACAGCACGCAAACGCAAACGUAUGGUGCCUCCAGACUAAUCCCUCCUCUGAACCAGCUGGAGCUCCUGAGGAACCUGAAGAGCAAGUCGGGACUGACAUUCAGGAAAGAGCAGCAGCCCGAACCAUCGCCAAGUAAGAGCAAACCGUGCAGAGAGUCACUUUGCGGAUGCUGCUCAGGAAACUCUAGUCAGAAGGUCAGUUUGAAAGAUCGUGUCUUCUCCAGUCCCCGCGGUGCUGGCACCAAAGGGAAAGGCUCUCCACAGGCUCAGGGCAUGAGGAGGUCCCCCAGUGCUGACCAGAGCAUCGAGGACAGCCCAAGCAAAGUGCCCAAGAGCUGGAGCUUCGGAGACCGCAGCCGAGCCCGGCAAGCUUUCCGCAUCAAGGGAGCGGCGUCGCGGCAGAACUCGGAAGAAGCAAGCCUCCCUGGAGAAGACAUCCCCGAUGAGAACAAAAGCUGCAACUGCGAGUUUGUGACAGAAGAUUUGACACCAGGGCUGAAAGUCAGCAUCAGGGCAGUGUGCAUUAUGAGGUUUCUCGUCUCCAAGCGCAAGUUUAAGGAGAGCCUUCGGCCCUACGACGUGAUGGAUGUCAUCGAGCAGUACUCAGCUGGUCAUCUGGACAUGCUCUCCCGGAUUAAAAACCUUCAGGCCAGGAUAGAUAUGAUUGUGGGUCCCCCACCCCCUUCAACUCCCCGGCAUAAGAAGUAUCCAACCAAAGGACCCCUGUAUUCUUCCAAAGAAUCUCCCCAAUACUCGCCUAGGUUAGGAUUCACCAAAAUGCCGCUUUCUCUGGGUUUUUUCAUUUUCUUAAGGUCAAACCCCUUUCAUGCCAGUUAUAUGACGGCAUUUAUCACUUAGCAAAGCAGCCUGUGAAAUCCUGACACAAAGGGCUUGCUACUCUGGGUGUGCUCUGAUUUGCUUUCAGUGAUGAGCUUUCAAACCAGGCCAGCCAAAGGAAGACAAAAAAGGGACAUUCAUACAGUCAUCAGUAACCAUCAGUUCCUUCAGAGAGUGUGUUUUCUAUUGUCAGUCUUCUUCUAGGUGCUAGAAGGCUAAAUUAUAUCUUUCUAAAAUCUCAUAUUUUAUCAGGCUAUCUUCAGGGGUAAAAGGUGGAAUAUUUACCCACAAAGUAAGAAUGAAGUGUUUUGUAGCUGAUGAACGCAGUGAUCUCUGUUUCUUGCUGAUGCCACUCUACUGACCAUGGAGGAAAAAAAUGUGUUAAAAUAUUACUACCAUAGGACUUACAUUGAAAAAAUAAAUAAAUCCUGAUUUUCCAAGGAAAAAGAGCAGGAGUCAAACCCAGCCCACAGUGAAAUAUUUCUCAUUAAGUUCUCUCCUUAAGUAAAACCAUACCUGAAGCUCAAGCCAUGAGGAACAUAUUCUCACCAAAAUACCCAUUUUAGGGCAUUCUAAGUUCUGGGCAGCAAGGCCAUGACUGGGCUGUAUUUUCACCUUGCAUUGAUACCACUGGAGCACAAGGGAGGUAUAAAUAUUUGCCAGAAAGUCAUUUUCCAUGCAGAAACAGUAGAUGAUUCUUAAAUGCAGAAAGCUUAGCCUCAGAUAUUUUUUUUCUAAAUAUAUUUACCUCCCUAAGCACUAAUAUGUGACAAAUCUCUUGAUUUUUAUUUAAGCUGCUCUGAGUAAUCUUCACUAGAGAAAUGUGAGUAAAAGGAAUAUUGAAAGCUUACCCUUACCCACUCAGCUAGCUCAAACAUUUAAAAAAGAGAAUUUUCCAGAAGCCCCAGGCUUUAUGCUUGAAAAAAAGAUAGAAAAGCAUUUUUUCCCAUUUCUCCUCCCUGCCAAAUGAUGAGGCCCCAAAAUAGUAUUUGAAAAUGAAAUAACCUUCUUAUCUGCAGAAACAUUUAGACUUUAAAAUAAAAAUACAUAUUCAAGUGGAUUUUGUUGUAUUUAACCUGUAAGAUUAUACGUGCAACAAACCUUACUAGAGGCAAGAUUUUCAUGUAAAAGCUUGUGCCUUGCACAGGGAAAAGUUGAUUUCUGGAUACGAGGGGAGGAGGCCUCAAACUGGGAUAUUUAUUUUAUUCAAUCCAAGUCUGUUGCUGUAUCAGCUUCAUGUUAAUGACUUUCUCUCCCCCUGUUUUUGCAGUUUCUAAUACUGAUUAAAAAUCUGUUCACACAUGCCCACUAUGCUCCUGGGACAUUUAGAUUUUUAUUUUAAUAAUUGCUCCCUUUUCCAGUGAAUUUUUUUUUUCUUUCCUCCUUUAUUCAGCUGUGGCUGCAGAAAACAGCGGAGUCCAGAAGGCUGCUGAAGUCUCUGCUCCCACCCAUUAAAAGGCUUAUGCUGUGCUUAAGUUUUGGCAGCUACGUCCUCCCACAGGCACCAGUGGGACUUGCGAGGUGCUUAGGGUGCCUGAUGGAUGGGAACCAGAGCUCUGAGCAGCCCCAAGCCCAAAUCCACUUAGAAAAAGUGCAAUCUCAGCUGUUAUUUUUUAGACAACAGUUAUUGAUCAAAAUUUGUUUAGAGCAAACUUUGUUGCCAAAUGAAAGGGUAAGUAGCCAGUCCUGUGACAUGGAUGAAGGGGGUUUGGCUUCAAUGCCUGGAUUGUUUACAAAAAUUUAUAAGAGAUAAAGAAAAAAAGAAAAGACCUGAAUAGAUAUUCCCAAACACUUCAUUUUUAUCUCAUUUGAGCCAUUUGACCUUUUUGAUGUCUGCUUCUGGCCCGAGGGUGACAUAUUACACCUCUUUGCAUGCACUGUUAGCAUGAAGCAUAAUGAAGCAUGAGAAAACCUGCACUGUGGCUGAUGCAAGACUUUACAUUUUUUUUGUAUCAUUAGAAAGACGGGAAGAUAACAAAGUUCACUUUAAAGAGCAAUCCCCUUGUCUCUCUCCCUCCCAAACUAAGACCCAGCAGAGCCUACCAAGAACAGCAGAUGGCACAGUUUGUCAUGCAUCCUUAGAAAUCUUUGAAUCCUCUUCUGCUAGGAAGGGAGAAACAUGGGGCUGACUCUGGCCAGAGCUUCAGCUGAAUUCUUCCCUCUGCACGUGUGUAUUUGGCACAGCCAAAGCAAGUGUUGAGAGGACACAAGGCUGCCCAUGGGGUGUAGAAGUGUAGAAGUGGGAUGGCCAUGUCAGAAGAUUCUUGGCCCUUUGUCACGCAGUAAGAACAUAAACUAUCCCCCUCUGCUUGCAAAAUAGAAAUAGAAAAUGUUCUGUCUUCUUCAUCUUUCAAGCUUUGUGGUCCAAUUUGGAAAAAAUCUCAAAAUCUUAUAAUGGCUAAAAGGACCUCCUGCUCUUGGCAGUCCUCAGCUAGGUACAGGUGGGUUGAGAGCUCACAAGGAAUUUCUUCUUUUCUCUUACAUCAGAUAAGGCACAAAUGAAAUCUCUGCGCUUUGCUGAGGGUUGGAGCACUCUCCUGUGGUCCAACUUAAGCCAUGGGAAGCAAAGGGGUGGGAGACCUCAAGCCUGGUUUCUCCCAUCAAGAGAGAAGGACUUGGUUCACCUUCUUCUCCCCUCUCUGCGCUGAAGUCAGUGUCCCACAGCUCCCCCUCACACCAUCCUUGGUGCUGACCUGCCCCCAGGGCCAGAUCUGGCCCUCUGAUUCCUCAGGGCUGUGUUCAAGUAUAGACACAAAGGGAAUGAAUCAAGCAGGAAUUCUGGGCUCUGGUGUCAAUAGUUUAUGGGAAAAGGCUUCUCAAUGCUUUAUGGGUGAGCUCUGUGAAGGACUUCAGUCCUGCCCCUAAAUCACAGCAGGUCUAGAGGCAAGUUGUGUCCAGCCUGAAGGGGAUGGACAAGUCAGUGCUGUUCUAGAUGCUGCUAGUGAUCAUUCCAUCUGUGAAGUGCCAGCUGGCCCCUGAAAUGGGCUGUAUGAGGUUCACUUACCAGAUAGCUCUUCUCUCAAGACAUGGAAGAGAGCAGAAGUUCUGCCUCAUUUUCUGGAAGAUUAGAAUUAGGGUUGCAGGAGACUCUCUCUGUUAUUACAAUGCAACACUCAUUUUCCCUCUCUGUGUUACAGUCUGUCCUGCCUCCCUGCUCUACUCAGCAACUGUUGAGGCACAUCUCAUUUCCAUUAGUGGACAUAUAUCAGUGUCAGUGCUGUGCUGGAUGGGACAGGAGGACAGAGCACCCCGUUUGUUCUAGGCCUUCUGCAGCAUUCAGUGGCAUUUAGACUUUGGGCCUCUUUAAACGCAUGUUCAUUGUUUUACAAGUCUACUUGCUUGUGCAUACAGGAGAGGAGUUCGUAAGUGGCUGUACUACGCCUUGACUUGUGAUUCCAAACCAAGGUAGCCCGAGGUAUCCAAUUUAACAGCUCUUUGCUUACAUGGUAACGGCAUUGUCAUAGGAUUUCUUGUGCUGUAUGUCCUGUCAGUAGUUGCAUCCCUUGUGGGGAGUUCCUGUACCUGUUAAUAAUUUCCUUCUCCCAUUACAAGAGAGAAAUAAGGCAUGCAUAUUCCUCACACUUGUAAUUACAGCACUUGGUGCUCCUUGUACUCCUGUGCUUAUAUUGCUAAGCAAAGGGUCAAACAUGGCUUUUUAAGCAGAACAGUAUUCUGUCACAUCCCUGCCCAAAUGAAGUAUCUUCUGGGAUCAAAGCUAAACUCUGAAAUAAUUGUUGGAUUAUAUUUUCUGUCUUUGAUGUGAUGUGCUCAUCCACUUCAUCUCUUUGAGCCAGAGCUGGUGCUGUAAACUGCUGUUGCUCUAAUAUAAGCUAAGGGAGCCACGCUGGUCCAUACCCACUGAUACCUGUCCCUUAAUGUCAAACAGCCAACAUACGUAUGAAGUCCCUGUCAAAUGUAAAGAAAACAGAUGGCUCUUGUGUUGGAAAUAGCCUCACGUCUCAUUCCUUUCCUUGGUUUUUGUUUGUUCAUUUUCCCCUGUCUGUCUGUGUUCAGCUCCUUCCUUUUCCUCCUCCUGGUGCAUGGACCCAUGGCCCACACGGCAGAACUGCAGUUGACCAGAUCGUUGGGAGAGGAUCCUCCAUGACUGACAAGGAUCGGACCAAAGGGCCAGCAGAGGGGGAGCUGCCUGAGGACCCCAG